rnacentral:misc_RNA from 1 species
UGUACAUGUACUGUACGUGCACGCCGCAUACACCCGGCCCCAUGUGCACAUCGUAAAAUGAAGUAGAACUUGAACUUGAAGGAACAAUCAUUAUCCCACGUUGGUGAGCACUUUCAUCGGCAAACAUAUCGUUCUUGUUCUCAAACCACAGUUUCUUGGCGAUGGUGUUAAUAUUCCCGCGUUUUGUUCUUCGGCAUGGUACUUCGUGUGUGGUACUGAUAGGUCCUUUUUGAAGUUUCGGCAACCAUGCCAGCAGGCUUAUGGCCGUAAUCAAAACUAUCAACUUGGUUGGCACCACUUCAUCCACAACAGUUACUAGGCAGCAUUUCAAGAAUUGUAAUCGUUGGAGAAGAAAUGACUACCGAAAUGAAACGCAAAUCCAAGUGGGACUUGCCCAAAACGGAGGAGGAAGAGCCGGGGGAUCAAGGGUCCAGCCUGGAGGCUGCGUCUGCCGCAGCGGCCAAGAUCAACGCCAUGUUGAUUGCUAAGGGAAAGCUGAAGUUGCCACCGGCUGUGGUGUCAUCCGCUCAACAAGCUCCCAAACAAAAGGUACCAAAGACAAAAGAAGAGCCAAUCAUAGCGGAGGUAGAGAUCAACGAUGUUCCCUUGCAAUGCAGGAAUCUGCUGACUCGAGGCUCCACCCAAGAAGAGAUCAGUAAAAUGAGUGGUGCUGCAGUAUCUACUAGAGGACGGUUCAUGUCGUAUGCCGACAGAGCGAAAAACAAUAUGGGUGAGAGGCCAUUGUAUUUAUGUGUGCAGGGGCUGACAAAGGAUUGUGUAGAUAAAGCCGUUCAAAGAAUCCGCAACAUUAUCGACGAGAGCAUCAGUAAGUCGAAGGGGAGGAGUAAAGGCAAGAGUCGACUCUUUGGGCAGAUGGAGCCCCCGUCAGCUGUCACUACAACGCAACCACUCCUCAGUGGAUCCUUUGUUCCGCAGCAAGCGCCGCUGAUAUCUGUUCCACCAACUCCGACACCCCCAAUGCAAACCGCGUCUUACAUUCAAGAAAAAGUGUUUGUCGGCCUGGAGCACGUACCACCUUCAUUCGGUGUCCGUGAGAAAAUUUUAGGACCAGGGGGAGCAUUUAUCCAGCACAUCCGCUCAGAGACGACUGCUAGUGUGUCCUUGCGAGGCCGGGGGUCGGGAUAUUUAGAGCCGUCGUCGGGACGCGAGGCUUUCGAGAACCUGCACAUCUACAUCACCCAUCACAAAUUAGAGGGAGUGCUGGCCGCCAAAAAGCUCUGUGAAAAUCUCAUACAGACCAUACAUGCCGAGUACAAUAAGCAUCAGAGUCAGCCUAUCGCCCCUGCCAAUCCGGUCAUCCGUAUGGUUGUCCCACCAAGUGCUGCUCAACAAAGUGUUCAACAUGUACCGGCUAGCCAGCCCAGCCAGAUAGUCUACACUGUCCCUUCAUCAGUAGGGGUGAUGUACCCACACCUACAGCAAGUAGCAGCUCAGCCAGUUGCAGAUCAGCAACAGGUCCAAAAGACAUUAAUGGUGCGGCAAGUUGCCAUUCCGAGGCCUGUACCCCCACCGGUCCCGCUAGCUACGCCAGAAUCCAUACAACAGCAGGUUCAUCAACAGCAACAACGGAUACAGCAACAGGAGCAACAACAAAUAUUAAACGCACAGUUGUCCGCUGCUCAGACCGUGGGCCUUAUACGAGUGCCGGGUGAAACCCCGCCACACUCCAUCAUUCAGGGAACGCCGGCCGUGCUGGUGCAACACCCGCCCCCGACACACCCACAGAUUCUGCCCAACCCCCAGCAACAGAUCCAGCAACAGAUCCAGCACGAAAUUCAACAAAAGAACAUGCAGGGGCAGCAUAUACAACAGCAAGUACAUCACAUGAAGCACCCGCAGCAGUUGCCGCAGAGGCCACCGCUGCUACCGGGCUCGCAUCUUCCUCAGGCCGUACCCAGCCAAGUGGGACAACCACCAAAGCGACAUUUUCGGGAAGAGGUGCCAGAAGUGGCUGCGGAAGAUGCGCUUCUUGGCUAUCAGGUCCGGGCAGGCAGCUUGUAUCUGUAGCACAGGCCAUUGCGGGACCGGGCGAGCCUCCGGCGCCGGCGCCACUUCAGAAGGGGCCAGUGGGUCCUCUAGUACCCCCGCAGAGGAUGCCUAUGCCUGGUCUACCGUCCGAUGCACGGAUUUUAAUGCCACCACCACCGCUUCCGAUGAUGGGUCCCCCUUCAGCUCCAGGCGACAUCGACAAACAUCUCAUGCCCCCGCCUUCUCUCCCACCUG